CACGUAGGGUGCGAGCGUUGUCCGGAAUUAUUGGGCGUAAAGAGCUCGUAGGCGGUGUGUCGCGUCGGCCGUGAAAACCUGCAGCUCAACUGCAGGCUUGCGGUCGAUACGGGCAGGCUGGAGUUCGGUAGGGGAGACUGGAAUUCCUGGUGUAGCGGUGAAAUGCGCAGAUAUCAGGAGGAACACCGGUGGCGAAGGCGGUUCUCUGGGACGGUACUGACGCUGAGACGCGAAAGCGUGGGGAGCGAACAGG
rnacentral:rRNA from 1 species